rnacentral:rRNA from 1 species
UACGAAGGGGGCGAGCGUUGUUCGGAAUUACUGGGCGUAAAGGGCGCGCAGGCGGCCUUAGAAGUCAGAUGUGAAAGCCCCGGGCUCAACCUGGGAAUGGCAUUUGAUACUCUGAGGCUGGAGUACGGGAGAGGAGAGUGGAAUUCCCAGUGUAGAGGUGAAAUUCGUAGAUAUUGGGAAGAACACCGGUGGCGAAGGCGGCCAUCUGGACAACAACUGACGCUGAGAUGCGAAAGCGUGGGGAGCAAACAGG